GACAGAUGAACAAACAACAUACAAAUAUCGCGUGCAGUAUUAAUUGAUUCCCAGGAUGCGAAUUUCCGCGCGAGCAUAGUUGGCAAGGUUCUCUAGCGUAUUUUCCGUUUACAGCAAGUUGCAAACAAAAAAUUGUAUAGUUUUAAAAUGCUGCGUAGCUCGGUGACGUCUGAGCCGAAUCGCGUAUGAAUGGCGAAGUUAGGGAUGCUCGUCAUUUCACCCCGGGGUGAAAUGACGAGCAUUGGAUUCUAAACCUGCGUGUGGACUUGGUCCAAGUAUUGAAAUUUAUCUCUGUAUGUACAACGUAUGUCAAAUCAAGGGUAAAAAUGUAUGCAUAGGCAGUCUCAGAGCUGGGCAGUCUGCAUGCCAUUCUGUAUGUGUACAUAUGUCUGUCUAUCUGUAUUCUGUUCCUCUGCAUGUCUUGUCUUGUUUUGCUUCGUGUACAUAACCUGCCGUGCUGUGUCCUCGGCAAGUGUUUCACAUGGCCUCUUACCCACGUACCAUAAGGAAUGUGCUAAUCCACUCUGUUACAUUGAUAGCACCUUAAUUUCCUUGGCCCCCCGCGGGCUUGAGAGGGGAGGUAUGGCCAUCGAGCCAAGUUGUGCUUGACCGUAUUUCAACCUUUUCAUUGUAGUUUCUGCGGGGUACCUGCAGGCCUUAACUCCCAUGCGCUUAUUUCACCAGCUGCCCAUGCCUUUUGCUCUAUGUCAGCACGAUGAUAAUCACGCGUACUAGAAGCAGAUGACGUCCAAAGUCCCUGCGGAACUUGCCGGAAUUUAAGCAAGGUUUUUACAGCCACAUGUAUUGUAUCUUGCAGAAGGAAUGAGUGCAUUUAUCCAAGGGGACUUCUCAUUCUCCUAUGUCCAACAAAACGGUGGGUAAUUAUGUGAUGGCUUUGGGCGGCUUACUUCUAUACCUACCCAGACAAGGACGGACUGGUGUCGCCCGCAGGCCUGCUUUCCAGAAUUUCACGUAGGAACGGAAGGGAUUUAACGAGUAGCGCGGAGUUUUGUUCAAGGUCCAAGGAUGAAAGGGGAUGCUGUGACAUGAUUUUACUUUUGACACCGCAUCGUUCCCUUUGACAUCUAGUACGACUUGAGUCGUUUGUUCCUCAGCAGGUCUUUCGCGCGUAACGAAUAGUUAGUAGCUUUUGAGAUACCCCAUGUUCACGUCCAUAGGAUCACCAACGAACCGUCAAGUUCAGAGAUCUCAUCCACAAAUUUCAAUACAUUAGCUGUACCAACAUUUUCAGCGGUCAAGCGAGUCGUGGGAAGAAGUUGCGCUAUGGCCUCAACUUCCACGGACGAGUCUGCCACGCUUCGUCGCCUCACCGCCCAGCUCAUCCGCUCCAACCAUGAGCCGCACAUUGAGUUAGCUAUGCAUCAGGCACGCGCUCUGGACAGGUGUGCAGGACCGCUUGACACACCAGGGCGAUUUGCCCCGGUUUCUUCCUUCUAGCCCAGGAAAACGGACCAUGGGUCGCAAGGUACACUUGGCUACUUUGCUUCCCAGCUGCUGUGUAACUAGCGCUCUACAAGUAACUAUACAGAAACAGGCAUGCUGAAGUACAACUUUCCAGCAAAUAUGCUUUAUUGCCAGAAGGUUUGUUUGCUGUAGGUCUUGUAGGUCUUGUAGCGCCUAUAGGUGUGUCACACCUAAGACCAUGAGUAGGCAAUCGGCGAAACAAAGAAUCCCGUGUGUGGGCCUUUCCUUUUUGCAAGUUAAGAGCAAGUGCGCGGAAGUGCGCUGACCGUGGGAAAAGUCUCGGCUGGUGAUAUGCAUCUUGCGAUCAAUCGUGUCAGAGGCACAUCAGAUUUGGCGGGCAGUCCGUGCUGUUGUAAGGCGCGACGGUUAUGGUGCUCGCGGCCGAAUUCGGACUUAAGGUCCAUGUUUGUCUUUUCCUUAGUCUGUUACAUCCAUAAAUUCACGUAUAGCUCUUGGCAUAGCACACGGCAUUUUGCACUCAGGGCUCGUGACCGGAGAAUGGCAGAACGGUCAGGAUGCGGCAUACGGUCGUGCACAGAAUACGGAUGGGAAAGAGUAGAAUAGAAAUGUGGAACCCCCAGGAUAAGGAUGGCAGGCAGAGGGCCCAAGAUGGCGGCAUACUUAAAAGGGUCCACGCCAACCCACCAAGGAUGAGG
rnacentral:lncRNA from 1 species